ACGAACGCUGGCGGCGUGCCUAAUACAUGCAAGUAGAACGCUGAAGAGAGGAGCUUGCUCUUCUUGGAUGAGUUGCGAACGGGUGAGUAACGCGUAGGUAACCUGCCUUGUAGCGGGGGAUAACUAUUGGAAACGAUAGCUAAUACCGCAUAACAAUGGAUGACACAUGUCAUUUAUUUGAAAGGGGCAAUUGCUCCACUACAAGAUGGACCUGCGUUGUAUUAGCUAGUAGGUGAGGUAACGGCUCACCUAGGCGACGAUACAUAGCCGACCUGAGAGGGUGAUCGGCCACACUGGGACUGAGACACGGCCCAGACUCCUACGGGAGGCAGCAGUAGGGAAUCUUCGGCAAUGGGGGCAACCCUGACCGAGCAACGCCGCGUGAGUGAAGAAGGUUUUCGGAUCGUAAAGCUCUGUUGUAAGUCAAGAACGAGUGUGAGAGUGGAAAGUUCACACUGUGACGGUAGCUUACCAGAAAGGGACGGCUAACUACGUGCCAGCAGCCGCGGUAAUACGUAGGUCCCGAGCGUUGUCCGGAUUUAUUGGGCGUAAAGCGAGCGCAGGCGGUUUGAUAAGUCUGAAGUUAAAGGCUGUGGCUCAACCAUAGUUCGCUUUGGAAACUGUCAAACUUGAGUGCAGAAGGGGAGAGUGGAAUUCCAUGUGUAGCGGUGAAAUGCGUAGAUAUAUGGAGGAACACCGGUGGCGAAAGCGGCUCUCUGGUCUGUAACUGACGCUGAGGCUCGAAAGCGUGGGGAGCGAACAGGAUUAGAUACCCUGGUAGUCCACGCCGUAAACGAUGAGUGCUAGGUGUUGGAUCCUUUCCGGGAUUCAGUGCCGCAGCUAACGCAUUAAGCACUCCGCCUGGGGAGUACGACCGCAAGGUUGAAACUCAAAGGAAUUGACGGGGGCCCGCACAAGCGGUGGAGCAUGUGGUUUAAUUCGAAGCAACGCGAAGAACCUUACCAGGUCUUGACAUCCCGAUGCUAUUUCUAGAGAUAGAAAGUUACUUCGGUACAUCGGUGACAGGUGGUGCAUGGUUGUCGUCAGCUCGUGUCGUGAGAUGUUGGGUUAAGUCCCGCAACGAGCGCAACCCUUACUGUCAGUUACUACGCAAGAGGACUCUGGCUAGACUGCCGUUGACAAAACGGAGGAAGGUGGGGAUGACGUCAAAUCAUCAUGCCCCUUAUGACCUGGGCUACACACGUGCUACAAUGGUUGGUACAACGAGUUGCGAGUCGGUGACGGCAAGCUAAUCUCUUAAAGCCAAUCUCAGUUCGGAUUGUAGGCUGCAACUCGCCUACAUGAAGUCGGAAUCGCUAGUAAUCGCGGAUCAGCACGCCGCGGUGAAUACGUUCCCGGGCCUUGUACACACCGCCCGUCACACCACGAGAGUUUGUAACACCCGAAGUCGGUGAGGUAACCUUUUGGAGCCAGCCGCCUAAGGUGGGAUAGAUGAUUGGGGUG
rnacentral:rRNA from 1 species